rnacentral:rRNA from 1 species
CCUACGGGUGGCAGCAGUGGGGGAUAUUGCACAAUGGGGGAAACCCUGAUGCAGCGACGCCGCGUGGGUGAAGAAGGGCCUCGGCGCGUAAAGCCCUGUCAGCAGGGAAGAAAAUGACGGUACCUGAAGAAGAAGCCCCGGCUAACUACGUGCCAGCAGCCGCGGUAAUACGUAGGGGGCAAGCGUUAUCCGGAUUUACUGGGUGUAAAGGGGGCGCAGACGGCGAUGCAAGCCAGGUGUGAAAGCCCGGGGCCCAACCCCGGGACUGCUUUUGAAACUGAGUGGCUAGAGUGCAGGAGGGGCAGGCGGAAUUCCUGGUGUAGCGGUGAAAUGCGUAGAUAUCAGGAGGAACACCGGUGGCGAAGGCGGCCUGCUGGACUGCAACUGACGUUGAGGCCCGAAAGCGUGGGGAGCAAACAGGAUUAGAUACCCGUGUAGUC